rnacentral:rRNA from 1 species
CGGCAUGCCUUACACAUGCAAGUCGAACGGCAGCAUGGAAGAGCUUGCUCUUCUGAUGGCGAGUGGCGAACGGGUGAGUAAAGCAUCGGAACGUACCGUGUAGUGGGGGAUAACGUAGCCGAAAGUUACGCUAAUACCGCAUACGCACUGAGGUGGAAAGCAGGGGAUCGCAAGACCUUGCGCUAUACGAGCGGCCGAUGUCAGAUUAGCUAGUUGGUAGGGUAAAGGCCUACCAAGGCGACGAUCUGUAGCGGGUCUGAGAGGAUGAUCCGCCACACUGGGACUGAGACACGGCCCAGACUCCUACGGGAGGCAGCAGUGGGGAAUUUUGGACAAUGGGCGAAAGCCUGAUCCAGCCAUGCCGCGUGAGUGAAGAAGGCCUUCGGGUUGUAAAGCUCUUUCGGCUGGGAAGAAAUCGCACAGGCUAAUACUCUGUGUGGAUGACGGUACCAGCACAAGAAGCACCGGCUAACUACGUG